rnacentral:lncRNA from 12 species
AGCUGCACGCGGCUUCGCGGCCGGGACCGGCUGGCCGCGCGGUGGGCGCCCGCCUCCGGCCCCCGCGCUCGGGCCACGCCUACCCCGCCCCCGGCCCUCUGCGCUAGCCAAGGCCCGGCACCUGGGCUGGCCCCGCAAGGCUGGCGGGCCCCCGAGCCCCGAGCAGGUGAAACGGCUGGGCGGCCUUGCCCGCGUCCAGGAAGCCGACUUCUCGUACCUCCCCGGGGACCGAAAACCGCCGGUGCCGCCGCACCCGUCGCCGCCGCCGCUUGCUCAUGGAGAGCCCGUGCCGCCGCCGCCGCCGCCUCAUCUACUAGCACCGUCCGCUGUCUGGGCCUCCCCGGCGUGAGUGCUGGGCUCUGGCACGGCCUCCAUCGCACCCGCCGCGGCGGGAGCCACAGCAGCUCCACCGCCCAGGCCGGAUCCGACCCGACCCACGGAGCCAGGACCGCAGGACGCGUAGCUUCUUAUUACGGAGGAAGAUUCGGCCUGACCUCCUCCGGCCCCCUCCCCCCAGCCCCUAGUACCCAGCCGCCUGACGGCGCUGCUGCGCAGGCGCGAAGACGCCCCUGCCAAACGUGCGUGUGUCGGGGGUGUAUACAGCAUCCAGAUUCGCCCAAUGGGAGCCAAGAUCAGGUGCGGGGGGGCGGGACCUCACGGAGAGGGGCGGCGUUCCAGUGUCAGAGGGUGGGUGGGUGGGUGGGGCAGCCGGAAGUGGGCCGGGCUUGCGUGGAGGCGGAGCUCUGUUGGCAAACCUGCUUGGCUGUUUUGAGUUCUACCAACAUGUCCUUUCAUGGUGGGAAAGGUUGCUUCUAA